rnacentral:rRNA from 1 species
AUGAAGAGAAAAGCAGGGCCAAACACCACUAAGCUUAAUGCUUUUUUUAAGCCAAUUGCUUCAAGUUCUCAACCUACUAAAAUCGUUAUUGAGGCGGAUGUGCAAGAUACAAAUCCGAGUCCAGUUAACACUUCUGAUCAGGAUAUGCCGGACAUUGUAAAUGUUGCAGAACAAGCAGAAGUUAUAACCACACCUUAUCAGAGAGACCCUGGUAAACGUUGUCAAAUUUGGGAGCUCCCACCGGACAAGCAAGAUGAUGCUCGGCAUUUUUAUAUAUCCAAGGGAGCAUAUCGACCAGAGUUGGAAGAAUACCCAUUUGAUGAAAAGUCUAAACACCAUCGUCGAUUUCAAAAAGAUUGGUACACAAAUUUAUGGUGGCUUGAGUAUUCAACACACACUGACAGCGCAUAUUGUUUGCCGUGCUUUCUUUUCUCAAAAAAACCUGUUGGGAGAUGUGGGUCUGAUACAUUCUCCGUCAAGGGUUUUCGAAACUGGAAAAAGAUUAACGAUGGAAAAGCGUGUGCUUUUUUAACUCAUGUUGGGGGCCCGAACUCUGCUCACAACUAUUCAGCUCGGUGCUAUGAAGAUCUCAAGACCAGUAUGGCCCAUAUCGACAAGGUGAUGGAAAAGAAAAAUGAGAAAGUAGCUACUGCUGCGAGAUUGAGGCUUAAGACUACCAUCGAUGUCAUGAGGUGGCUGAUAUUCCAAGCUUGUUCUUUUAGAGGUCAUGAUGAAUCUGCGGGGUCUAAGAACCAAGGGAAUUUUCUUGAAAUGCUUAAGAUUCUUGCAUCGUACAAUAAGGAUGUUGCAGGAGUUGUUCUGGAAAAUGCCCCAGGUAAUGCAAAGUAUACAUCCGGAGAAGUUCAGAAAGAGAUUGUUGGCAUACUUGCUCUAGAAGUGCAAAAGGCAAUUAGAGAAGAAAUAGGUAAUGCCAAGUUCUGUAUAAUGGUUGAUGAAGCUCGGGAUGAAUCAAAAAAAGAACAAAUGGCAGUUGUUCUUCGGUUUGCCAACAAAGAAGCAGAAAUAAUUGAGCGUUUCCUUGAUCUAGUUCAUGUUAAUGACACUGCUGCCUUAACUUUGAAAAAUGCAAUCUGUACUGUACUGUCAGAUAAUAAUUUGAACGUACAAGACAUCAGGGGCCAAGCAUAUGACGGUGCAAGUAAUAUGAGAGGGGAAUGGAAUGGAUUGAAGGCUCUUAUUCUCCGUGAGUGUCCGUAUGCCUACUAUAUUCAUUGUAUGGCUCAUCAAUUACAACUGGCGCUUGUUGCUGCAUCACGAGAGGUACAUGAGGUACAUAACUUCUUUCAGAAUGCAAAUUUUGUAAUAAAUGUCGUUAGUGCUUCUACAAAGCGCAGUGAUGAGCUACUAGCGAACCAAGCGGAGGAAAUUGCUCGUGAAAUUGAGUUGGGAGAGCUUGAUACAGGCAGAGGGCAAAACCAAAUAGGAACCUUACAGAGACCAGGAGACACAAGAUGGAGUUCACACUAUAAGUCCAUACGGAGCUUAAAGAAGAUGUUUGCUGCUACAGUUGCCGUCUUAAGAGGUAUAGCAAGUGACCGUUCAGUCUCAAAAUAUUCUCGUGGUGAUGCCGUUGGAUCCCUGAAAAUUGUCCUAUCAUUUGAUUUCGUGUUCAUUCUACAUCUGAUGGAAAAAGAUUAUGAAGAUCACUGA